GAUGAACGCUGGCGGCGUGCCUAAUACAUGCCAGUCGAGCGAACAGACGAGGAGCUUGCUCCUCUGACGUUAGCGGCGGACGGGUGAGUAACACGUGGAUAACCUACCUAUAAGACUGGGAUAACUUCGGGAAACCGGAGCUAAUACCGGAUAAUAUAUUGAACCGCAUGGUUCAAUAGUGAAAGACGGUUUUGCUGUAACUUAUAGAUGGAUCCGCGCCGCAUUAGCUAGUUGGUAAGGUAACGGCUUACCAAGGCAACGAUGCGUAGCCGACCUGAGAGGGGGAUCCGCCACACUGGAACUGAGACCCGGUCCCGACUCCUACGGGAGGCAGGAGUAGGGAAUCUUCCGCCAUGGGCGAAAGCCUGACGGAGGAACGCCGCGUGAGUGAUGAAGGUCUUCCGAUCGUAAAACCCUGUUAUUAGGGAAGAACAAAUGUGUAAGUAACUAUGCACGUCUUGACGGUACCUAAUCAGAAAGCCACGGCUAACUACGUG
rnacentral:rRNA from 1 species